rnacentral:rRNA from 1 species
AUACGGAGGAUCCGAGCGUUAUCCGGAUUUAUUGGGUUUAAAGGGUGCGCAGGCGGCCAUUUAAGUCAGCGGUUAAAUCGUGGGGCUCAACCCCAUUCUGCCGUUGAUACUGGGUGGCUUGAUUGCGGUCGAGGUUGGCGGAAUUCGUUUUGUAGCGGUGAAAUGCAUAGAUAUGACGAAGAACACCGAUUGCGUAGGCAGCUGACCAGACCGCAAAUGACGCUCAUGCACGAAAGUGCGGGGAUCGAACAGGAUUAGAUACCCUGGUAGUCCGCACAGUAAACGAUGAAUACUUGUUUUCGGCGAUAUAAUGUCGGAGGCAAAGCGAAAGCGAUAAGUAUUCCACCUGGGGAGUACGCCGGCAACGGUGAAACUCAAAGGAAUUGACGGGG